UGGACAGAUUAUUGUUCGACUGUAUUUACGGCGUGAAACAGGGGAUUACACUAUUUUUAAACGAAAAGUGAAUCGAUUAACAUAAUAGACUUCU
rnacentral:pre_miRNA from 1 species